rnacentral:rRNA from 1 species
GACGAACGCUGGCGGCGUGCCUAAUACAUGCAAGUAGAACGCUGAAGGAGGAACUUGCUUCUCUGGAUGAGUUGCGAACGGGGGAGUAACGCGUAGGUAACCUGCCUGGUAGCGGGGGAGAACAAUUGGAAACGAUAGCUAAUACCGCAUAAUAUUGACUAUUGCAUGAUAGUCAGUUGAAAGGUGCAACUGCACCACUACCAGAUGGACCUGCGUUGUAUUAGCUAGUUGGUGGGGUAAAGGCUCACCCAGGCGACGACACAUAGCCGACCCGAGAGGGGGGUCGGCCCCACUUGGAAUGAGACACGGCCCCGACUCCUACGGGGGGCAGCAGUAGGGGAACUUUGGCAAUGGGGGGAAGGCCUACCGAGGACAGCCCCGGGGGUGAAGGAGGUUCUCGGGGCUGAAAGCUCUGUUUUAUGAGAAGAAAGAGUAUGAGAGUGGAAAGCUCACAUUGUGACGGUAUCUUAACAGAAAGGGCCGGCUAACUUCGUG